rnacentral:tRNA from 1 species
GGAACAGUAUGCAAGUGGUUAAAGCAAGCAGUCUGUAAAACUGAUAUCUUCGGAUUUCGUAGGUUCAAAUCCUACCUGUUCCACCA